GACGAACGCUGGCGGCGUGCUUAACACAUGCAAGCCGAACGGAAAGGCCCUGCUUUUGUGGGGUGCUCGAGUGGCGAACGGGUGAGUAACACGUGAGUAACCUGCCCUUGACUUUGGGAUAACUUCAGGAAACUGGGGCUAAUACCGGAUAGGAGCUCCUGCUGCAUGGUGGGGGUUGGAAAGUUUCGGCGGUUGGGGAUGGACUCGCGGCUUAUCAGCUUGUUGGUGGGGUAGUGGCCUACCAAGGCUUUGACGGGUAGCCGGCCUGAGAGGGUGACCGGCCACAUUGGGACUGAGAUACGGCCCAGACUCCUACGGGAGGCAGCAGUGGGGAAUAUUGCACAAUGGGCGGAAGCCUGAUGCAGCAACGCCGCGUGCGGGAUGACGGCCUUCGGGUUGUAAACCGCUUUCGCCUGUGACGAAGCGUGAGUGACGGUAAUGGGUAAAGAAGCACCGGCUAACUACGUG
rnacentral:rRNA from 1 species